ACAUAGAUAGAGAUAAGCAAAGAGCUUAAAAACCAAGGCCAGAAGCGACCAAGCCCGAGAAGAGAUGGCCUGCUCUCGCCUCCCUCCUUCUUACCCAGACUCUUGCCUUCCACCUCCUGAUAAGGCGCUCACACAACCAACACCCAAGAAGACAUCGGGAGCCCGAGACUGCAAAGCAGAGACAGCUGAGCUCUGAUAAAGUACCUGACCAGACAAAGUUAAGGGCGAGAUUUGUUUUGGCUGGAGUUUGUGAAGGAAGUUCCUCAUGGCUGGGAAGUCAAACAUCAGGAGCUUUUAGCAGCUGGUCAUAUUGUAGCCACAGGCAAGAGGAAGAUAACAAGAAAUCCUAUUCUUAAGUGCUUCCUCCUUCUAUGAAUCCAGGACUCAAGGGAGGCGUAAUGAAGCAUUUCCAGAGAAGCAGAGAUUAAAGUCUGGAAAAGAGGCUUUACCUGUCUGGGGAUUAAAAAUAAACAAUUUGCAGAGGUCAGAGGACCUAGGAACCAAACCCACAAAGCAACGUGUGUUCUCCUCAU